AAGGAUCAUUAAUGAGUCGUUGAAACGGGGUUGUUGCUGGCCCCGCUUGGGGUAGCGUGCACGCCUCGCUCUCGUUCCCAUCCCUUUAACACUUGUGCACAACCUGUAGUUCCGCGAGCCGAUGGGGCACCCGGUUCUAUGUAUUUUCUCUACACCAUGGUUUGAUUGAAUGUACAAAGGCGUCUAUGACGCUAAACGAAUAUAUAUAACUUUCAGCAACGGAUCUCUUGGCUCUC
rnacentral:misc_RNA from 1 species